UACGGAGGGUGCGAACGUUAAUCGGAAUCACUGGGCGUAAAGCGCGCGUAGGCGGUCUGUUAAGUGGGAUGUGAAAUCCCCCGGCUUAACCUGGGAACUGCGUCUGAUACUGGAAGGCUUGAGGAUGGGAGAGGGAUGUAGAAUUCCAGGUGUAGCGGUGAAAUGCGUAGAUAUCUGGAGGAAUACCGGUGGCGAAGGCGGCAUCCUGGACCAUUACUGACGCUGAGGCGCGAAAGCUAGGGGAGCAAACGGG
rnacentral:rRNA from 1 species